UUGUCCUGGCCUAUGCCUUUCCUGCUCACUUGUGCCCAGUUCUAACAGGGUAUGGGGUAGGACACAAAGCAAUCUCCCUCUCAGUUAAGGAGGGCCAUCCAAACAGGGCUGCUCUUAAAAGCACACAAGGACAAU
ensembl:scaRNA